rnacentral:rRNA from 1 species
UACGUAGGUGGCAAGCGUUGUCCGGAAUUACUGGGCGUAAAGCGUGCGCAGGCGGUUAUGCAAGACAGAUGUGAAAUCCCCGGGCUCAACCUGGGAACUGCAUUUGUGACUGCAUGGCUAGAGUACGGCAGAGGGGGAUGGAAUUCCGCGUGUAGCAGUGAAAUGCGUAGAUAUGCGGAGGAACACCGAUGGCGAAGGCAAUCCCCUGGGCCUGUACUGACGCUCAUGCACGAAAGCGUGGGGAGCAAACAGG